rnacentral:rRNA from 1 species
UAAUGUAUGGGGAUCUGCCCGAUAGAGGGGGAUAACUACUGGAAACGGUGGCUAAUACCGCAUAAUGUCUACGGACCAAAGCAGGGGCUCUUCGGACCUUGCACUAUCGGAUGAACCCAUAUGGGAUUAGCUAGUAGGUGGGGUAAAGGCUCACCUAGGCGACGAUCUCUAGCUGGCCUGAGAGGAUGAUCAGCCACACUGGGACUGAGACACGGCCCAG